ensembl:lncRNA
CCGCGUGUCCCGGCGAACUUUGGAUCGAUCCGACGCGGAGGAAGGCGAAGCCGAGGGAGCGGCGAAGAGUGACGGUGCCGCUUCGCCGGUUCGAGUCCACGUCCAGCCUGAGAUCCGAGCGCGGCACCGUUCCCACCUGCCAUCGGGGAAUAUUGUCCCCGUGAAGGGGUGGACCUGGUCAGCGACAAGGUCCAGGAGAGUCUUCUGGAGGUCCGCUCAUCAGCUUAACAGCACCCCUGCUGGUAGCAGCAUGUGA